rnacentral:SRP_RNA from 2 species
GCUGGGCGUGGUGGCACAUGCCUGUAAUCCCAGCUACUUGGGAGGCUGAGACAGGAGAAUCGCUUGAACCCAGGAAGAAGAGGCUGCAGUGAGCUGAGAUAGCGCCGCUGCACUCCAGCCUGGGCGACAGAGCGAGAUUCUGUCUCAA